rnacentral:sRNA from 1 species
UCCUAGCCCUGAUGGUAGCGGCAUCCUUUUUCUGGCUUUUUUUGCCAGUAAAAGAUAUAGCGGACAGCAGGAAAUAGC